GGAGGUAGUGACAAUAAAUCUCAAUACGAAGCCUUUGGUUUUGUAAUUGAAUUGAGAACAAUGUACAAUCGUUAUCGAUAAACAAUUGGAGGGCAAGUCUGGUGCCAGCAGCCGCGGUAAUUCCAGCUCCAAUAGCGUAUAUUAACGUUGUUGCAGUUAAAAAGCUCGUAGUUGAAGUUUAGAUGGUUUGAAGGGGGUGUUAGUAUCAAUGGUACUAUCUGCUCUCUUUGGAUUAUCGACUUCCAGGUAAGUAUAAUGUACCUUUCGGGGUUCGUUAUACCAGACUGGUCCUUUACUGUGAGAAAAUUAGAGUGUUUAAAGCAAACUAUUGAUGUUUGAAUAGAUUAGCAUGGAAUAAUAAGAUUGGCUUUCAUAGUCGAUUUUUUGGUUUGUUUAUGAAAGCAAGAUUAAUAGGGACAGUUGGGGGUAUUCAUAUUCAAUAGCUAGAGGUGAAAUUCUAUGAUUUAUGGAAGAUGAACAAGUGCGAAAGCA
rnacentral:rRNA from 1 species